ACUUAAAUAGCUUAUGUAAUUAGAGCAUGACUUUGAAGAAGUUAUUGAGAUCUUAUAUCUUUAAGUA
rnacentral:tRNA from 1 species